UCUAGUAGGUUGGGUAACGGCUCACCUAGGCGACGAUCCCUACUGGUCUGAGAGGAUGACCAGCCACACUGGAACUGAGCACGGUCCAUACUCCUACGGGAGGCAGCAGUGGGGAAUAUUGCACAAUGGGCGCAAGCCUGAUGCAGCCAUUCCUCUUGUAUGAAGAAGGCCUUCGGGUUGUAAAGUACUUUUCACGAGGAGGAAGGUGUUGUGGUUAAUAACCGCAGCAAUUGACGUUACUCGCAGAAGAAGCACCGGCUAACUCCGUCCUAGCACCCGCUGGUUAAUACGGGGAGGGGUGCUAAGCGGUUUUAAUCUGGGGGAAAAU
rnacentral:rRNA from 1 species